rnacentral:rRNA from 1 species
GCGAUGCGAUGACGCUGGCGGCGUGCCUAACACAUGCAAGUCGAGCGGGGUUGUGGAGAAGCUUGCUUCGAAACAACCUAGCGGCGGACGGGUGAGUAACGCGUGGGUAACCUGCCCUAUGCAGGGGGAUAACACACCGAAAGGUGUGCUAAUACCCCAUGAUACUUAUUUAUCGCAUGGUAAAUAAGUCAAAGAUUUAUCGGCAUAGGAUGGACCCGCGUCUGAUUAGCUAGUUGGUGGGGUAAAGGCUCACCAAGGCGACGAUCAGUAGCCGACCUGAGAGGGUGAUCGGCCACACUGGAACUGAGACACGGUCCAGACUCCUACGGGAGGCAGCAGUGGGGAAUAUUGCACAAUGGGGGAAACCCUGAUGCAGCAACGCCGCGUGAGCGAUGAAGGCCUUCGGGUCGUAAAGCUCUGUCCUAAGGGAAGAAGAAUGACGGUACCUUAGGAGGAAGCCCCGGCUAACUACGUGCCAGCAGCCGCGGUAAUACGUAGGGGGCGAGCGUUAUCCGGAAUCACUGGGCGUAAAGGGUGCGUAGGCGGCCUAUAAAGUCAGGGGUGAAAGGCUACGGCUUAACCGUAGUAAGCCUUUGAAACUUAUGGGCUUGAGUGCAGGAGAGGAGAGUGGAAUUCCUAGUGUAGCGGUGAAAUGCGUAGAUAUUAGGAGGAACACCAGUGGCGAAGGCGACUCUCUGGACUGUAACUGACGCUGAGGCACGAAAGCGUGGGGAGCGAACAGGAUUAGAUACCCUGGUAGUCCACGCCGUAAACGAUGAGUGCUAUGUGUCGGAGCCGACAGGCUUCGGUGCCGCAGCUAACGCAUUAAGCACUCCGGCCUGGGGGGAGUACGGUCGCAGACUGAAACUCAAAGGUAGUUGACGGGGACCUGCACAGCCAGCCGCAGCCAUGGUGGCUUGUUUCGCAGGCAACCGCCGAGA